rnacentral:rRNA from 1 species
ACUGCUCAGUAACACGUGGACAACCUACCCUAAGGAGGGGGAUAACCCCGGGAAACUGGGGAUAAUACCCCAUAGACUAUGGAUGCUGGAAUGCUUUGUAGUCAAAAGGUCCGCCGCCUUAGGAUGGGUCUGCGGCCGAUUAGGUUGUUGUUGGGGUAACGGCCCAACAAGCCUGUAAUCGGUACGGGUUGUGGGAGCAAGAGCCCGGAGAUGGAUUCUGAGACACGAAUCCAGGCCCUACGGGGCGCAGCAGGCGCGAAAACUUUACAAUGCGGGAAACCGUGAUAAGGGAACUCCGAGUGCCCGUUAAAUCGGGCUGUCCACCAGUUUAAACAACUGGUGAAGAAAGGGCCGGGCAAGACCGGUGCCAGCCGCCGCGGUAAUACCGGCGGCUCGAGUGGUGGCCACUAUUACUGGGCUUAAAGCGUUCGUAGCUGGUUUGUUAAGUCUCUGGGGAAAUCUACCGGCUUAACCGGUAGGCGUCUCAGGGAUACUGGCAGACUAGGGACCGGGAGAGGUGAGAGGUACUCCAGGGGUAGGAGUGAAAUCCUGUAAUCCUUGGGGGACCACCUGUGGCGAAGGCGUCUCACCAGAACGGCUCCGACAGUGAGGGACGAAAGCUGGGGGAGCAAACCGGAUUAGAUACCCGGGUAGUCCCAGCUGUAAACGAUGCGCGUUAGGUGUAUCGGUGACCACGAGUCACCGAGGUGCCGAAGAGAAAUCGUGAAACGUGCCGCCUGGGAAGUACGGUCGCAAGGCUGAAACUUAAAGGAAUUGGCGGGGGAGCAC